rnacentral:miRNA from 1 species
CAGAGGAGGAGAUGAAGAGGGA